GGCCCCAUCGUCUAGCGGUUUAGGACACGACCCUCUCAAGGUCGAGACCGGAGUUCGAGUCUCCGUGGGGCUA
rnacentral:tRNA from 1 species